CCUGGCCCUUGUUGACAUCACUGAUGCACACCCACUGCCCGUCGACUGACUCCUUCCACAGGGUUACCUGCAAGCCAGCACACACACAGGCAGGUGCGGUUCUUCCGGAGGGAAGCGAGCGCUAGGAUGACACCCAGCACCACAAGAGGGGAUUGGAGGUGAACCUGUGGGGUCAACCACUGGGAAUCUGACGGCGAAGGGGCUUCCAACACUCAGAUCUUCGCAGACCUAGUUCCUACCUGCAGAAUCCAACCAGUCCCAGGGAACAGUCUGACCAGGGAACUUGCUGCUGGUAAGGUGCUCCAUCCUCCCAAGGAAGCUAGAGGCCCUCCCUUCACCUGGCAACUAGCACCACACCACGGCCUCCAUCUCAGAGCUGCAUCUACCCAGCCACUAUCUGCACGAUGGCCCUUCUCCCGCAUGACGAUGUGGAGCCGGUGAUGGAGGAGAAGAUCAAUGCCCUCAUCAAAGCAGCUGGAGUAAAUGCUGAACCUUUCUGGCCAGGCUUGUUUGCAAAGGCUCUGGCCAGUGCCAACACUGGGAGUCUCAUCUGCCAUGCAGGGGCUGGUGGACCUGCCCCAGCUGAGGAGGAGAAAGUGGAAGCAAAGAAAGGAGACUCUGAAGAGUCUGAUGAUGUCACGGGCUCUGGUCUUUUUGACUAAACUUCUUUUGUAACAUAUUCAAUAAAAAACAGAACUUUGUUAAA